UGUUAAAAAUUUAAUCCAUUCAUGCUGUUAAAAACUAGUGUGACUGACGGAAUAACCAGACAGUUACACUUGGUGUACCACGUGUACCUCAUGCUGAUGUACAUGGACCAAUUUUUAAUAGUAUAAAUGGAUGAAAUUUAUAACA
rfam:Gossypium raimondii Chr10_contig_22, whole genome shotgun sequence.